CCUACGGGAGGCAGCAGUGAGGAAUAUUGGUCAAUGGGCGCGAGCCUGAACCAGCCAAGUAGCGUGAAGGAUGACUGCCCUACGGGUUGUAAACUUCUUUUAUAAAGGAAUAAAGUGAGGCACGUGUGCCUGUUUGUAUGUACUUUAUGAAUAAGGAUCGGCUAACUCCGUGCCAGCAGCCGCGGUAAUACGGAGGAUCCGAGCGUUAUCCGGAUUUAUUGGGUUUAAAGGGAGCGUAGAUGGGUUGUUAAGUCAGUUGUGAAAGUUUGCGGCUCAACCGUAAAAUUGCAAUUGAUACUGGCAGGCUUGAGUACAGUUGAGGUAGGCGGAAUUCGUGGUGUAGCGGUGAAAUGCUUAGAUAUCACAAAGAACCCCGAUUGCGAAGGCAGCUUACUAAGCUGUGACUGACAUUGAGGCUCGAAAGUGUGGGUAUCAAACAGGAUUAGAUACCCGAGUAGUC
rnacentral:rRNA from 1 species